CAAUCACAACAGUCCCAAGGCAUUUAUCAGGAUAUCACACUACAUGGUAUGGCCUGCUCCUUCCUCUCAAAGCUCUUCCUGGUGUGAGAAAACAAGGAAUGAGUGCCACAGCACCAAAAUGUUCCUGGUGAUAAAACGGCGGCUCUUUGGUGCUAUAAACCAGUCAGUGCCGUAAGAAUUUGAGGAUUAUUGAGAGGCGUCCAAUCAGAGCGCUGUAUCUGGCUGCUGGAGCGACACUUCCCUCUUGCUUCACAACAGACACAGACACAUGGUCUCGCUUUCUCUCUCACUCUCUUUCUCUAUCUCUCGCUUUCUCUAUCUCUCGCUUUCUCUCUCACUUUCUUUCUCUCUCUCGCUUUCUCUCUCACUCUCUUUCUCUAUCUCUCGCUUUCUCUCUCUCUCUCUUUCUCCCUCUCUCGCUUUCCUUCUCACUCUCUUUUUCUUUCUCUCUCACUCUCUUUAUCUCUCGCUUUCUCUCUCACUCUCUUUCUCUCUCUCGCUUUCUCUCUCACUCUCUUUCUCUAUCUCUCGCUUUCUCUCUCUCUCGCAAUAUCUCUCUCUUUCUCUAUCUCUCGCAAUAUCUCUCUCUUUCUCUAUCUCUCGCUAUAUCUCUCGCUUUCUCUCUCUUUAUCUCUCGCAAUAUCUCUCUCUUUCUCUAUCUCUCGCUAUAUCUAUCUCUCGCUAUAUCUCUCUCUUUCUCUCUCGCUUUCUCUCUCGCUAUAUCUCUCUCUUUCUCUAUCUCUCGCUAUAUCUCUCUUUCUCUCUCUCUUUAUCUCUCGCUAUAUCUCUCUUUCUCUAUCUCUCGCAAUUUCUCUAUCUCUCGCUAUAUCUCUCGCUUUCUCUCUCUCCUUAUCUCUUGCUAUAUCUCUCUCUUUCUCUCUCUUUCUCUCUCCCACAUGCAUGAGCGUAAAGUGAGAAGCAACAUCACUCCACACACAGGAAGCCAUGCUCCUUUUUUAUUUAAAGGGCUCUUUUUCAUCUUUCCCCUCUCUGGCUGAACCCUGACCCUCAAAUAGAUCUGGAAAUAGGUACAUUGUCGAGGGAAAUAGGGGAGCGCCUCUAACCUAAUGUUAUCCUCCCCUUCCCCCAAAAAUUGAAAAAAUGAAUUAAAGAUGAAACAUGGCCCCUAUGCAGUCUGUGAUUCUAGACACGUCUCCUCUCCUCCUUUUUAUUCCCCCCAUCAUCUGUCAGAUGAAAUAAGUUUAGACCUGGUCUGGACACACCUGCUCCCUGGACUACCGACGAUGCCUUGUCCUCCGGCUCGCACUGCAACAUUUAGUGACACAUGUUGGAAUGUGGAGCUCAUUGAAGUACGCACACACAAGCACACAAACACACAGACAAACUGCAACACACACGGACACACACACACGGACACACACACGGAAACACACACAGCGACACACACAGCGACACACACACAGACACCUGCCCUUGUGUGGGCCUUCAACCCAUCCACGUUAUUGCAGAGUGCUGAGAGAAGUCAAGAAGGAAUAUAACAUUUAACCCAACCCCUCUGAAUCAGAGAGGUGUGGAGGGCUGUGUGUGCGUGUGUGUGGCUGUGUGUGUGUGUGUGUGUGUGUGUGUGUGCGUGCGUGCGUGUGUGUGUGAGUGUGUGGUUGUGUAUGUGUGUGUGUCUGUCUGUGUGUAUGCAGUGUGCCUAUUAUAUAAUAUGUGUGUAUAAGUGUGCGUGUGUAUUUAUUCGGUGUGCAUUUGUAUUUUAUUUAAACUUUAUUUAACUAGGCAUUUGCGGUGUGUGUGUGUAUAUGUAUAAGUGUGUGUGUGUGUGCUGUCUGGCAGCAAAGGUAGAUCCAGCCUGAUUCUAAUGAGGCUUGGAUCAAAGGACCACAGGAGGGAGAUUAGAGAUGAGUAUUGUAUUGAUUUUUAAUUGACUGGAGUGGAGAUGGAAAGCGGGGGGAGGGGAGGGCAGCCUGGGCCAGAUUAUGAAAUGAGCUGAAUUUGUCACUCACUGAAGGCAUAGGGAGAGUGAGAGAGAGGGAGAGGGAGAGAGAGAGAAAGAGGAUGGGGGAGAGGGAAAGAGGCAGGGAGAGAAAGUGGAGAGGAGAAAGGAGAGAGAAG
rnacentral:lncRNA from 1 species